CUUCCUCUGCCUUUUAAAGCUAUUCUCUGAGCUCUGAUAUCCGCUCAAGAUCAGCCUCAGGUAUUUUCAGAGGUGAUGGAGAAGACUGUGAAAAGAACUGCCGGAGGUUUAAGCCCUUGGCAAAAAAUAUGGUGUGUUGGAGAGAUGCCUGCGAGGGGAGCGGGGCUCAUGGUGAGAUGGCUGUGCUGUGAUCUCAGGCACACGGUGUCCAUCCCUCCACCCAUCCUCUGGGCUGACACCUCCACAGGUGUUAAAGACAUCAACUGGCCACCCUCCUGCUGGUGUUUUUCCAUCUGCCUGCUCUUGACAGCUCGUAUUUUUCAAGCCCUAGGAUGGGUGUGCAGAGCAAUAGGGCAGUGCCUGAGGAUGGAGGCUGGAGUGCAAUGAGAGGUUGAAACGUGGCUGCGUCUCUCCCCCUUCUGUACUUUCAGUAGAUGGAAACUGAGCUCUAAAUUGCCUUGGGCACUUGGAGUUGUGUCUUCAUGGACAAAGCAGGGAGGCUGGCUGCAGUGACGUGUGGCUUGUAAAAGCUCCCUGCUGUGGCAAUGGCACUUUCAUGCACAUGGAGCAACCCAAGGCAGCCAACACACACCUAUUUGUGCAGCAAGCAUUAAAAAACAGACCCACCUUGGCCAGAUCUGCUCCCAGGCCAUGGCCAUCACAGCGUGUUUAUGGCUUUCACUUGUGGGCUGUUUGGGAUCAUUAAAUAAAUGUCACAGGAACUCUGGAGGUGGUAAGUAAUCAGAGCAGCCGGGAGAGCUGAAACAACUGCAAGGGCAAGAAAAAUAUUUUGCAAAGGAAACUUCACUGAACUCUUCCACAGAAGACAAAGGAGGUGAAAAGGAGCAACUUUCUGUUUCAUUUUGAAUGGAUAUUUUUCCGCUCUCAUUGCUUUCCGGAAGACAAAAAAAAAUGUCAGCAGAGAUGCUUUCAUCAGAAGGUAAUUCUGCUUGAGAUGUCUGGCAGAUGAAGUGAGGCUUUCGUUGCUCUGCUCUCCCCUGUGGGGCUGGGAUGGGUCACCUUUUCCAACGUGAGUGCCGGGAUGGAGCUUGCUGGUUUUCCAAGGACGUUGGCAUUGGGGUGCCCUUGAGGCCCAGCCUUUUCUGCUGGGGUUGUGCAAUGCUUUGUUCUGGCUCACAGGCAGAACUAAAAGCAGAACUUAGGGAUCUCAUUUAUUGUCAGUCUGGAACCCGUUUGAGGAAAGGGCAAUGUUAUGAGUUGCACUCUUGCUGCUGUUGUUGUCAUAAACUCACACGUUUAUGGAGUGUGCAUGGCUCUGGGAAUUGUUUUAAUGCUGAAUGCUAUUGUUCCAGUCUUUUAACCAACUUCCCUUUAUUGAUUACUAGGCUCCUUUUAGAUUUGAAGUCCCAGCCCAUGCUAGAAGCCCAUCUCCCCACACCACUGCCCCAUUAGUGAUAUCAAACCAGUCACUUCCAGCAGAGCACAGACCCCACGUCAGCACUCCCCAAAUCCUGCAGACCCAUCCUCCCAUCAGGCCAAUCAAGAUAUGAUUAAGAAGACACAAAACCCACAGUGAGAGGAGUAAACCAGUGUGGACAAUAGCAAUGCUAAUUGCCUGGCAAGCCUGUACUCAGCACUUCAAGGAUCUUUUCCAGCUGGCUAUGCCCAGCCUUAUCCUUCCCAGCAAGGAGGCAAAUUUGCAACAUGAUUAUGGUGGCUGCAUCUCUCUACCCCAUGCCAACUUGCUGCAAGCUGCCCCUGUUGGAUGUCCCACAGUACCAGUGGAUUCAUGUGUGUCUAGUAAUGGGAAACCCACCCUUACAUAGACCUAUAUGUAACCUUACUCCCUUUUUGCCUCGUGCACCUCUUCUGACAAUGCUUAGUCCCUAUAUGAAUGCUGUGGGAGCAUCCUUGUUGUAUCUGUGGCUCCUGGUGCCCAAACGCCAUUGCAGAGCGUUACUAUCCAACCUAUGCACACUUGUCUGCUCUUUGGUACUGCCUUCUCCAUUUGCUCUCCUCUGUCUUUUCUUUUCUUAGAAAGCUUCAUUUUAUGUGAAAUCACCAAGUCACAAAAUAUCUGUAGGAAUGUACGAAGCUUGUCGUAAAACCCAAACCUCUCUAAUGAAAAACUUCUGCUGGGAGAAGCAAACUCUGUUUCAUGUUGAGAGGUCCCAGGCGCACUAUUUGGCAAAAAGACUGCAGGAAGAGGCUCUGCAGGACUCUUGCUUUUACCUGCUGUUUCCUGGGGAGCCAGGAAGAUGUCCUGCGUGGGAUGGAAGGGGAGUGCUGGGGACAUCCUCUCAUCCUGGCAGAGGAAGUGAUGGAUGCAGAGGUGGGACAAGACCUCUCCGUCACAGAGACUUGGAUGAAAAGCCUGCCCUGUGAAAUAUUUAUUAUGUGGCAUGUCUGGUGGAGGUAGAUUUCUGUCACCAAGCUUUUUUCCUCUUGCUUUGUAUCCAUCUCACUUCCUUUUCAGACCCGCCUUGUUCCAGCAUUUAUGGAAAGUAUGUGGCAAAAGACCAGAAGAGCUAAUUUUUCCUGUUCUUGUUUCAUGAAGUGCUUCCCCCGCAGUCCUGCCUACAAAGACUCAGAGAAAUUCAGGAUGGAAAGGACCUGUUGGUUUGCUUUCUGUGCUCCUGCCAAGGUGAAAGCUUCCCAUGCAGUGCAGUCUUCAGUGCGUCAGCUCUUCCAGGUUUAAAUGAUGCAGGUGUCUUGUUGAGAUGAAACCUUUCCUGUGCUGUGACAGCAUAGAUAAUGGUUGAGAUGUCUUUGUAUUACGUGUGGAUCUCAAAGUGGGCCAGUUGGAAGGCAAGGUCAGCACCAGUCCUGUUUGGACUUCUGGUCUGGUGUAGUUCAGGUUUGAGCUUUCCACUUACCUGCUCCUGUGCUUGCACCCCUGGUUGUAAUGACCUGAGAGUGUCCCCUUGCUACAUGCAUAUACCAAACCCAGCAAGGAGGUUUAAAACCACAAAGGUUAACCACUUCUAAACACAAGAUAAAAGCCUCUGUGUUUGCUGGCCAGAGGGUCUGCUUCCAGACUGAGCGCAAUGUGUCCUGCACACUGAGCACUGUGUUCCAGCCUGAACACAGCUGCAUUAGCAAGGUGGAGAUGCACCUGCAUGCAGCACAAGGCAUUUGCUGACUGUGGUUGGAAUCCUGCUUCCUUGGCUUCUCGUCUGCUGAGCUUUUCAAGUGAAUAUGGUGCAAAUGCUCAGAAAGGGGAAAUGCUGGCAAUGAAAACAGACAGCAAGCUGCAGCAGGAUGUCAGCAUUGCACUCGUGCUACUUCAACACCCACAAGUCCCCAGGGCUAGAUACAGUGAUGUCUGCAGCUUCUGGGAGUCACAGUGCCACUUCUGGCUGGUGGAUCCUGCCAACAAGAUGCAGCUCUGAGCUGAUCCUCAGAAUCCAAAGAGCAAAUGAGCACCAUGUUUCCAUUUGUGGGCCCACAUAGGCAGGUCUGAAAGGAUGCUCUGGAAGGUCCCCACACCAUGAGGAAAUCCUCAGCCACAUAUGUGGGGCCACAUCUGGAUGUGAACCAGCUGUUGGCAGCCUGAGCCACAACACACAAAGAGGCCAUUGCAGCACAGGCUUUGGGUCACAGAAAGGAAAGCCCGGGAGCUGGUCACAAGCGUUGGGGCCGUGAAAUCUGAUUCUGUUGGAUGUUAUGGGCAAGGAACCUUGAACAUCAUGGACAGGUGGCCGGGGCUUGGGAAGGGGCUGUAACAAGGCAUCGUGGACACAAGAUCCUCUUUGUUAGGAUGCUGCUGUAGGAGAAGUGACUGCGUGAGAGGUUUUGGCACAGCUGCCUGAACUCCUUACCUCCCGCAGAUGAAAGCCUGCCUUUCUAAUCGUGUCUUUUAUUACGCUCUCCAAAAUGCUCUCCUGCCAUCCCACUGGGUUCGUAGGGGGAACAGGUGUUUUUAACAGGAGAUUAAUGGUUUUAAAAGCGUGCCCUGGGAGGCAUGGCAAUGCAUCACACUCCUGUUGGGAUGUGGGAUGCUGAACCCGGCAGGGAGGUUCAUAGCAGAGCAUCUCCCUUGCUGGUACAGGAUGCUUGUCCCACCUCACACAGAUGAUGAUGUGGGGUUGCUUUAGGCAGAGCCUGAGCUGUUUAAAGGCUGGCCAAGCACAAGCCAGUUUGUCAACAGAGUCACUGAGGAGCUCCCUGAGCUCCAAGUGCCAGCAGCACCCCUGGGGUGCCCCAUGCAUCCCAUCCUGCUGAUAAGGGUAGGAGAGGCACUGCUGGGGGGCUCCUGCACAGGGAUUGUUUGCAGGAGUUGAGUGCCCCACUCCAUCACUCAAACGCUUUGUGCUGCGCAAGGAAUCCCCCUGCAUCCCCCCAGAUUUCCCCUUUUGCACUGAAGAUCCUCCUGUUUCUCCCCUCAAACCCCCUCUGCUGGACCAGGGAUUUCCUCUUUUCCUUUCCUCAAAACCUGGGGUAUUUCUAAGCAAGUGAGUUGAGUGGUGGAUGGUGGAGAGAAGAGAUGUUAUGCUGUUCAAAGAUACCGAAUGUCUUCACCGUAGAGGACUGAAGUAUGUAGAGAGCAAGAAUUGCUGGCUCAGGAGCCAGGGUUAUUUGGAAGGGGACAGAAACUUGGCUGAGGAUCCCGUGGAACAAAGCAAAAACAGGAAAAUGCAUAGACAUGCCUCGAGAGUCAUAAAAACAAAGUUUAGGUUAAGUACACACAGGGUCUCCUUUUCCCUUUGCAGGUUAAGAAAGGGCAGCCUGUGCCUGCAGAGCUGCUGGCAGAAGCAAUCGCUCCACUUUUUCCUCGGCCAUACUUGAGAAUAGUGGGAAGAAUAGGGUGGGAUCUCCUUUUUGUCCCCCCACUGCUGCCCAGCAUCUCUGGUUUAGGCACGUUCCUUUGAUUAUGAUGCCAUGCCUGCACACUGCUGUAAACACCUGUCUACCAAGCGCCAUGUGAUGCAAAGCAGCACCUUAAAUUCACAAUGCCCUGUGAAAAUGAAACAACGUUGGGUUUAAUGAUUGGGAAAAAGAAUUUCUUAGCAGUGUUCCCAGUCUUGGGGAUAUUCUUGGAUGCUCUGCCCCAAUGCCAGAGCAGCGGACUCAGCAUCUUUGUGUCAGGGCAUUCCCAAAGCAGACCUGAGCUGUUUGGGUUGGCUGCAAUAUUACAAGAGGGUAAAGUGGUUGCAGGCUGUAAGCACUCGGAAAAGGGCUGGGUGUAGGAAAUGGCCUCCUUCGGGCACAUCAGCCACUCACUGCUUCCUCUCCGCCCCGCACAGCUCAUAAAAACAAGGUGUUUGUCCUCUUUGAUGGCAGCGGGUAGCAUCAAGCAGGCUUUGAUGUCAUGGAAGGAAAUAAUGUAUUUAGGCACAGCCCUCGUUCGGGUCAGACACAGCUAAUAUAAAUCAGGGUACUGAGGAGAUGGGGAAGGGUGUGGAGAAGUUCAACUUGACCCUUUACCAUCAUUUUCUUUAACUUUCACAUUAAAUUAACUUCCCUAUUGUUCCCUAUCACUGUGCUACAUCUUAUUUUUCCCAUCACCAUUCUUUUGUUCCCCUGAAAAGCUUUUGAACAAGAUGAGAAAGGGAAACCUUUAGUCAUCAGCAUUGCAGUGCGUGCCUUCAGAUCCCAGACAGCACACGAAAGCGGCAGGGGAAAAACAGAGCUGCCACAACACCCCCAGCAAUCGCUCUUGGAAAUGGCCUGAGCCUCCUUUGAAAACAACCUAUAGCUCCUUUGGAUGCUCAGUACUGCAGAACUCGAACCCAUUUCCACCCCUGCAUUAAGAUUCAUAGUGGGUGUAAAUGAGUUUCUGAGAUUUUCGUGCCGUCGUUGCCAUAAGGAGCUGAAUAAAAAUCACAUUAAAUAUACUUUAUACUUCUGCAACAGCUGGAAGCCAAGUCUUAAAGUGCUUUCCAAUCCCACGGGCCAAGAGCAGAACCACGAUCCUUUCAAGCCAAAGAGAUUUCCCAUUAAUUUAACCUGUCCAGAUUUGCCAGGGGCCAGAUUUUUAGUGCUUAAAUCAAAGAGAAGCUCCCAAAAAAACCAGAUGAGCCUGUGACUACCAUUGGGCUGACCCAUCUCAGUCACUGUCUGGAGAUACGAGUUGGUGCCCACCAGGCCAUCAGUUGACAUGGGAGGGGACAGCCUGUGGGAGCUGGGAUUUAUAGAUGGAUCCUGCUGGAGCUGAGAUGGAGAUGAGAUUGGGGUGUGUGUGCUCUCCAGAGGCAAUGCAUGUGAGGAGUGGCUGAGGGUUGUUCAGCCCAGAGAAGAAGAGGUGAUGUGAGAAAUGUAAAAGAUGCAAAAAAAAUCACGUUUCCUUCCCAGAAAUGCUAUCACAUCCUUGUGCAGCUAUUGAAAAGCUGGAGCGGAGAGAGAAGCAGCAUUGCAGGUCUGCAACAGGGCAGGUUUGGGCUGGAUUUGUAUUUUUCCAUGAAAUAUUUCACUUCCAGAGGCUGUUCUUCACUGGGUGGAAGCUGUCCCAGCAUGGCUGCAGGGUAUGGGAGAGGUGGUAAAGAGGAGGGUGAAAAGCAGAGAGAAAGAGGGCAGAAAUAAAACAAGAAAUGGAGAAGAAAGGGGCAUUUCUAGCUAUACUGCUUGCACGGAAUCUGUGGUUCUGGUGGUUUUGGGAAGCUCAGCUAACAGCACUGAAAAGCAACACCUUCUCCCUUGUCCCAGAAGCUUAAUGAAAGACUGUAAAAAAUAAUGUAUGUAUUUAUUGUAUACAUUUAUAUAAAGGUGCCUGGCUGCCCCAAAACAGAACGAGAUUCUGGCAUGCUGUGGACAGCUGGACACUUGGAGGUGGUCAGAAGAUGAACUGAACAGCAAAAGCACCUUCCUGCCUCCCCAGGUUUUAUGCAUUUCCUUUGCAGCUGGUGCCCUCUCGCGGAAAGCUCUCACCACUCAAUUUUGUCUGUUUUUCCUAAUGCAAGAGCAUCGUCCGGCAGCAUACAGGAGCCGCGGCAUUGCCCAAGCCCAGCACGGCCAGUGGGACCCAGGGUGACCUUUUGUGGGCACACAGCUAAAUCUGCGUUGGCAUUUAUCUGAACAAAGCUGCUUUACUUCACGUUUAUCCUGGCGGAUUGUUAUGGUGUUACCUCUCUUGCAAGUAUGCAUCUAUAUAUCAUCAAUAGGAUACACUUAUAGGAUAUAUAGGGAGAGACACCCCAUUUUUGCCACUUUUGA